AAGGGAAUCUUCCGCAAUGGACGCAAGUCUGACGGAGCAACGUCGCGUGAGUGAAGAAGGAUUUCGGUUCGUAAAACUCUGUUGUUAGAGAAGAACAGCGCAUAGAGUAACUGUUAUGCGUGUGACGGUAUAUAACCAGAAAGCCACGGCUAACUACGUGCCAGCAGCCGCGGUAAUACGUAGGUGGCAAGCGUUGUCCGGAUUUAUUGGGCGUAAAGCGAGCGCAGGCGGUCAAUUAAGUCUGAUGUGAAAGCCCCCGGCUCAACCGGGGAGGGUCAUUGGAAACUGGUUGACUUGCGUGCAGGAGAGGAGCGGGGAAUUCCAUGUGUAGCGGUAAAUUGCGUAGAUAUAUGAGAGAACACCAGUGGAAAAGGCGACUCUCUGCUAUGUAACUGACGCUGGGGUUCGAAAGCGUGGGUAGCAAACUGG
rnacentral:rRNA from 1 species